rnacentral:rRNA from 1 species
CCUACGGGCGGCAGCAGUGGGGAAUAUUGCACAAUGGGGGAAACCCUGAUGCAGCGACGCCGCGUGAGUGAAGAAGUAAUUCGUUAUGUAAAGCUCUAUCAGCAGGGAAGAAAAUGACGGUACCUGAGUAAGAAGCCCCGGCUAACUACGUGCCAGCAGCCGCGGUAAUACGUCGGGGGCAAGCGUUAUCCGGAUUUACUGGGUGGAAAGGGAGCGUAGACGGCAGUGCAAGUCUGGAGUGAAAGGCGGGGGCUCAACCCCCGGACUGCUCUGGAAACUGUACGGCUGGAGUGCAGGAGAGGUAAGUGGAAUUCCUAGUGUAGCGGUGAAAUGCGUAGAUAUUAGGAGGAACACCAGUGGCGAAGGCGGCUUACUGGACUGUAACUGACGUUGAGGCUCGAAAGCGUGGGGAGCAAACAGGAUUAGAUACCCCAGUAGUC